rnacentral:rRNA from 1 species
GACGAACGCUGGCGGCGUGCUUAACACAUGCAAGUCGAACGAAGAGCGAUGGAAGCUUGCUUCUAUCAAUCUUAGUGGCGAACGGGUGAGUAACGCGUAAUCAACCUGCCCUUCAGAGGGGGACAACAGUCGGAAACGACUGCUAAUACCGCAUACGAGCUAAUCUCGGCAUCGAGGAUAGAUGAAAGGUGGCCUCUACAUGUAAGCUAUCACUGAAGGAGGGGAUUGCGUCUGAUUAGCUAGUUGGAGGGGUAACGGCCCACCAAGGCGAUGAUCAGUAGCAGGUCUGAGAGGAUGAACGGCCACAUUGGGACUGAGACACGGCCCAGACUCCUACGGGAGGCAGCAGUGGGGAAUCUUCCGCAAUGGACGAAAGUCUGACGGAGCAACGCCGCGUGAGUGAUGACGGCCUUCGGGUUGUAAAGCUCUGUUAAUCGGGACGAAAGGCCUUCUUGCGAAUAGUGAGAAGGAUUGACGGUACCGGAAGAGAAAGCCACGGCUAACUACGUG